UACAGAGGAGCCAAGCGUUGUCCGGAUUGACUGGGCGUAAAGCGCACGCAGGCGGCUGCGCGCGUGGGGUGUGAAAUCUGGCCGCUUAACGGCCAGGCGCCAUCCCAUACGGCGCGGCUUGAGCCUUGCGGAGGGCGGUGGAAUUGCCGGUGUAGUAGUGAAAUGCGUUGAUAUCGUUGGGAACACCGAAAGCGAAGGCAGGCUACUGGGUACUACCUGACACUGCUAGGACGAAAGCGUGGGGAGCGAAUGGG
rnacentral:rRNA from 1 species